rnacentral:lncRNA from 1 species
GCGAAAUUGGGCCAGCGAUUUGAACCGAACUGAAAUUUUUCUAAUUCUAUAGCUAUCGUUUGGUUCGGGGUUAAGAAAAAACUAGUUAUUCCAGGAAGGUGGGGUUAAAAUAUUUUUGUAUUUGGUUAGGAGUUGGAGUUAGUCCAGGAUAGUGAAAAAUAGUGUUUGGUUGAAGUAAGUGGGAUAAGAAAGAUAGUGGGUUAUUAUGAAUAGAAAAUAGUGUUUGGUUGGAGUUUGGUGGAAUUAGGUGGAAUUAGCUAACCCGGAAUAAUUUAUUUGAGGUGGGGUUAGCUAACCCACCCAUUUUUUGGAGUGUUUGGAGAUAAUAUGGGGGUUAAGGGGUUAUUCCACUCCUUAACCCCAACCAAACAAA